rnacentral:lncRNA from 1 species
AAACCAGUCAGCCCUAAGUGCACACAGGAGAACCAUGGAGUUGGAGGAAAAGGUCCCAUACAGAGAGAAGAAACAGACAACCUGAAUCACAUUCAAAAGAGAGUCUCCACAAUAGUGAGGGCUGCAAAACCAGGUGACAUGAAAACCAAGAGAAUGAAUUACAUAGAUUUGUUUAACCUAAGGAAGAAAAGAUUCUGGACACGUGAGGGCCGAUUUUCAUUCCUCAG